GGUAAAAUGCAGUUUUUGGCUUAUCACUCAAAAACCAAAGCAUUUAGAGCAAAUCUGACAUGGGGUAAAAUUGUUCAUCAGGUCAAGAUCUAUCUGCCCUGAAAUUUUCAGAUGAAUCGGACAACCCGUUAUUGGGUUGCUGCCCCUGAAUUGGUAAUUUUAAGGAAAUUUUGCUGUUUUUGGUUAUUAUCUUGAAUAUUAUUAUAGAUAGAGAUAAACUGUAAACAGCAAUAAUGUUCAGCAAAGUAAGAUUAACAAAUAAGUCAACAUGACUGAAAUGGUCAGUUGACCCCUUUAGGAGUUAUUGCCCUUUAUAGUCAAUUUUUAACCAUUUUUCGUAAAUCUUAGUAAUCUUUUACAAAAAUCUUCUCCUCUGAAACUCCGUGGCCAAAUUAAACCAAACUUGGCCACAAUCAUCAUUUGGUUAUCUAGUUUUAAAAAUGUGUGGCUUGACCUGGUCAACCAACCAAGAUGGCCGCCACGGCUAAAAAUAGAACAUAGGGGUAAAAUUCAGUUUUUGGCUUUUAACUCAAAAACCAAAGCAUUUAAAGCAAAUCUGACAUGAAGUAAAAUUGUUUAUCAGGUCAAGAUCUAUCUGCCCUGAAAUUUUCAGAUGAAUCGGACAACCCGUUAUUGGGUUGCUGCCCCUGAAUUGGUAAUUUUAAGGAAAUUUUGCUGUUUUUGGUUAUUAUCUUGAAUAUUAUUAUAGAUAGAGAUAAACUGUAAACAGCAAUAAUGUUCAGCAAAGUAAGAUUUACAAAUAAGUCAAUAUAACCGAAAUGGUCAGUUGACCCCUUUAGGAGUAAUUGCCCUUUAUAGUCAAUUUUUAACCAUUUUUCGUAAAUCUUAGUAAUCUUUUACAAAAAUCUUCUCCUCUGAAACAACUGGGCCAAAUUAAACCAAACUUGGCCACAAUCAUCAUUUGGUUAUCUAGUUUUGAAAAUGUGUGGCGUGACCUGGUCAACCAACCAAGAUGGCCGCCACGGCUAAAAAUAGAACAUAGGGGUAAAAUUCAGUUUUUGGCUUUUAACUCAAAAACCAAAGCAUUUAAAGCAAAUCUGACAUGAAGUAAAAUUGUUUAUCAGGUCAAGAUCUAUCUGCCCUGAAAUUUUCAGAUGAAUCGGACAACCCGUUGUUGGGUUGCUGCCCCUGAAUUGGUAAUUUUAAGGAAAUUUUGCCGUUUUUGGUUAUCAUCUUGAAUAUUAUUAUAGAUAGAGAUAAACUGUAAACAGCAAUAAUGUUCAGCAAAGUAAGAUCUACAAAUAAGUCAACUUGACCAAAAUGGUCAGUUGACCCCUUAAGGAGUUAUUGCCCUUUAUAGUCAAUUUUUAACCAUUUUUCGUAAAUUUUUGUAAUUUUUUACAAAAAUCUUCUCCUCUGAAACUACUAAGACAAAUUUAACCAAACUUGUCCACAAUCAUCAUUAGGGUAUCUUGUUUAAAAAAUGUGUCCAAUGACCCCGCCCGUGAACCAAGAUGGCCGACAUGGCUAAAAAAUAGUACAUAGGGUAAAAUGCAGUUUUUGGCUCAUAUCUCUGAAACCAAAGCAUUUAGAGCAAAUCUGAUGAGUAUAAAAUUGUUCAUUAGGUCAAGAUCUAUCUGCCCUGAAAUUUUCAGACCAAUCAGGCAACCCGUUGUUGGGUUGCUGCCCCUGAAUUGGUAAUUUUAAGGAAAUUUUGCCGUUUUUGGUUAUUAUCUUGAAUAUUAUUAUAGAUAGAGAUAAACUGUAAACAGCAAUAAUGUACAGCAAAGUUAGAUCUACAAAUAAGGCAACAUGACCAAAAUUGUCAGUUGACCCCUUAAGGAGUUAUUGCCCUUUAUAGUCAAUUUUUAACCAUUUUUCGUAAAUUUUUGUAAUUUUUUACAAAAAUCUUCUCCUCUGAAACUACUAAGACAAAUUUAACCAAACUUGUCCACAAUCAUCAUUAGGGUAUCUAGUUUAAAAAAUGUGUCUGAUGACCCCGCCUGCGAACCAAGAUGGCCGACAUGGCUAAAAAAUAGUACAUAGGGUAAAAUGCAGUUUUUGGCUCAUAUCUCUGAAACCAAAGCAUUUAGAGCAAAUCUGAUGAGUAUAAAAUUGUUCAUUAGGUCAAGAUCUAUCUGCCCUGAAAUUUUCAGACCAAUCGGGCAACACAUUGUUGGGUUGCUGCCCCUGAAUUGGUAAUUUUAAGAAAAUUUUGCAGCUUUUGGUUAUUAUCUUGAAUAUUAUUAUAGAUAGAGAUAAACUGUAAACAGCAAUAAUGUACAGCAAAGUUAGAUCUACAAAUAAGGCAACAUGACCAAAAUUGUCAAUUGACCCCUUAAGGAGUUAUUGCCCUUUAUAGUCAAUUUUUUACAAUUUUCAUAAAUUUUGUAAAUUUUUGUAAAUUUUUACAAAGUAUUUUCCACUGUAUCUACCGGGCCAAGUUCAUUAUAGAUAGAGAUAAUAGUAAGGAGCAAAAAUGUUCAGUAAAGUAAGAUCUACAAACACAUCACCAUCACCAAAACACAUCACCAUCACCAAAACACAAUUUUGUCAUGAAUCCAUCUGUGUCCUUUGUUUAAUAUGCACAUAGACCAAGGUGAGCGACACAGGCUCUUUAGAGCCUCUAGUUUUUUACAUUUUUGCCCAUUAUCUUGAAAACUAUAAUAGAUAGGGAGAAACUUUAAAUUGCAAAAAUGAUCAGCAAUACAAGUUCUACAAAUUAACACAUGGUCGAACUCGUCAGUCGUCUCCUUAUUAGAGUAAUUGCCCUUUGAUGACGAUUUUGACCAAUUUUUUGCGUUUUUGCCUUAUAUCUUAUAGAUUACAAUAGAUAGAUAGAAUCUUAAAUUGGCAAAAAUGAUCAGCAAGACAAGAUCUACUAUGUAGACAAUAUGGAGGAAAUCUUCCGAUGACUCCUUAUUGGAGCUAUUGGCCUUAAAUGACGAUUUUUACCAUUUUCUUGCAUUUUGCCUUAUGUGAUAAAAUUUAUGAUAGAAAAAUAGACACUUUUAAUCACAAAAAUUAUCAGCAAGGCAAGAUCUUCUAUUAAGUCCAAUUUUGCCGAUAUAGUUAGUAGACUGUCACUCUUUACAGGAGUGAUUGCCCUUAAAUGACGAAUUUUUUAACCUCUUUUGUGUUUUGAGCAAAAACUAAAGAAGAUAGAGAGAAACUAAACAGACUAAAUAAUCAGCAAUACAAAAUCAACAAAACAGAGAUUUUUGUCAUGAAUUCUAUUCUCGUCUACAAUGUUAGAGAGUGUCCUUUGUUGAAUAUGCAAAUAGACCAAGGUGAGCAACACAGGCUCUUUAGAGCCUCUAGUUUUACAGAGGUUUUGUCUUUCUUUUGUUAUUUACAUUCUUUUAUUGUUUGUAUAUGCUCAGGAACUAAAUCUUGCUUCUAUAAUUAAAAUAAAAUAAACAAAAUGUAAUAAAUAUAUAAAAAUCAAA